UACAGAGGUCUCGAGCGUUAGGCGGAAUCACUGGGCUUAAAGCGUGUGUAGGCGGAUCGUUAAGUACCUUGUGAAAUCCCACGGCUUAACCGUGGAACUGCUUGGUAUACUGGCGGUCUCGAGCCAGCUAGGGGCUACCGGAACAAAUGGUGGAGCGGUGAAAUGCGUAGAUAUCUGGAGGAACACCGGUGGCGAAGGCGGCAUCCUGGACCAAUACUGACGCUGAGGAGCGAAAGCCAGGGGAGCAAACGGG
rnacentral:rRNA from 1 species